UGAGUAGAACAGAUGAUCGCCCGUUUUGAAGUGAAAGCGGGAGGAAAGUCCGGACUCCCUGGGAGAGUAGUAAUGGCUAACGGCCAUGGGGAGUGAUCCCACGGAAAGUGCAACAGAAAACAAACCGCCCCUAGUGGACAGAGAUGUUCACUGGAGGUAAGGGUGAAAAAGUGAGGUAAGAGCUCACUGUGUCUGCAGUGAUGUAGGACAUUGGCAAACCCUACUAGGAGCAAUAUCAAGUCAACGCUUCGCUAAUGGGGCGAAGGCGUUCUCCCACGCUUGACGUUGUGGUGGAUAGCUUGAGGUCGCGAGCAAUCUCGACCCUAGAUUGAUGAUUAUCAUAUACAGAAUCCGGCUUACGUUCUGCUCACAGC
rnacentral:RNase_P_RNA from 1 species